UACGUAGGAGGCAAGCGUUGUCCGGAAUCAUUGGGCGUAAAGAGCGUGUAGGCGGCCCGGUAAGUCCGCUGUGAAAGUCGGGGGCUCAACCCUCGAAUGCCGGUGGAUACUGUCGGGCUAGAGUGCGGAAGAGGCGAGUGGAAUUCCUGGUGUAGCGGUGAAAUGCGCAGAUAUCAGGAGGAACACCGAUUGCGAAGGCAGCUCGCUGGGACGUAACUGACGCUGAGACGCGAAAGCGUGGGGAGCAAACAGG
rnacentral:rRNA from 1 species